UAAUACGGAGGGUGCAAGCGUUAUCCGGAAUCAUUGGGCGUAAAGCGUCCGCAGCCGGUUUGUUAAAUUGGGUGUUAAAUUUUGCAGCUCAACUGGCAAAAAUACAUUCAAAACUGGCAAACUAGAGUACUUCAGAGGUACGUGGAAUUCUGUGUGUAGGGGUAAAAUCCGUAGAUACACAGAGGAAUACCAAAAGCGAAGGCAGCGUACUGGGAAGUCACUGACGCUCAGGGACGAAAGCGUGGGUAGCGAACGGGAUUAGAUACCCCGGUAGUCCACGCCGUAAACGAUGGAUACUAGUUGUUGGAGGACUCGACCCCUCCAGUGACGUCGCUAACGCAUUAAGUAUCCCGCCUGGGGAGUACGGUCGCAAGAUUAAAACUCAAAGGAAUAGACGGGGACCCACACAAGCGGUGGAGCAUGUGGUUUAAUUCGACGAUAAGCGAGGAACCUUACCUGGACUUGACAUCCCGAGAAUUUCCCCGAAAAGGGAAAGUGCCGCAAGGAACUCGGUGACAGGUGCUGCAUGGUUGUCGUCAGCUCGUGCCUUGAGGUGUUCGGUUAAGUCCGUGAACGAGCGCAACCCUUGUCCUGUGUUGUAUUUUCACAGGAGACUGCCGGCUUUAAGUCGGAGGAAGGUAAGGAUGACGUCAAAUCAGCAUGGCCCUUAUGUCCAGGGCUACACACGUGCUACAAUGGCAGGUACAAUAGGCAGCAAACCCGCGAGGGGGAGCCAAUCCUCAAAAACCUGUCCUAAGUUCGAAUUGAUGGCUGCAACUCGCCAUCAUGAAGUUGGAAUCGCUAGUAACCGCGUAUCAGCCAUGACGCGGUGAAUAUGUUCCUGGGUCUUGUACUCACCGCCCGUCACGUCAUGAAAGGUGGAGGCAACCCGAAGUACCGUUAUCAUUUAUGAGCGGUCCUAAGGUGAAACCACUGAUUGGGACGAAG
rnacentral:rRNA from 1 species